AUAAGUAACUUACAUGAACAGAUAUGGGAAUAUCUAAAGUCGUGGAGCUGCUUUCCAAAGUGCUGGAAGAAAAUAAAUUGAUGAAAGCGGAAAUUACCAACCUGGGGAGUGAAGUGAGGGCGCUUAGGAGAGAGAUGGUGAGGCCGGUAGCACCAGAAGCUGCCGCUUCGUCCAUCAAGCUGCCUCUGAGGACAAUGGAGGAGUUUCAAUUAGCAGAGGCUGUUAUGAGAGAAACCCCCUGCGAAAAACAAAAGAUGAUCUUAACAUUCAGUCUAAUUGGAGGGCACACUGCAGAAGAGGCCGGAAGAAGGAUGUUGCAGAGUGGCCUAACAAAUAACCUGGCGUGUCGCUUCAACUGGGCAGGGAAAGGCUUCAAGGAAGCCUUUAAAAGCACUGUCCUUAGUGAUGUACUGUUCGCUGCACUCCAAAAACAGCUGCCAGGGACCACCCAUAUUGUUUUUUCAGGGACACUGAAGAAGUGGCUUAAAUAUGCACCGGAGAGAGAGGGAGGUGGAGGGAGGCGAACAAAUGAACGCGAUCAGGUAGGCCUAUGUACGCUUGUUCCACACACCAUGCGUCCUUCGAAGGAUGAGCGUCGCGAGUGCGACUCUGAACCAUUGACAGGUCUGAACAUACGGACCCAAAAUGCAUUUCGAGAGCGCAAUGCUAUGGAGCCAGUUUCCUGCCAUAA